CAGUCGAACGAAGCACUUUAACCUGAUUCUUCGGAUGAAGGUUUUUGUGACCGAUUGGCGGACGGGUGAGUAACGCGUGGGUAACCUGCCUCAUCCUGGGGGAUAACAGUUAGAAAUGACUGCUAAUACCGCAUAAGACCACGGAGCCGCAUGGCUCAGUGGGAAAAACUCCGGUGGUAUGAGAUGGACCCGCGUCUGAUUAGGUAGUUGGUGGGGUAACGGCCUACCAAGCCAACGAUCAGUAGCCGACCUGAGAGGGUGACCGGCCACAUUGGGACUGAGACACGGCCCAAACUCCUACGGGAGGCAGCAGUGGGGAAUAUUGCACAAUGGGGGAAACCCUGAUGCAGCGACGCCGCGUGAGCGAAGAAGUAUUUCGGUAUGUAAAGCUCUAUCAGCAGGGAAGAAAAUGACGGUACCUGACUAAGAAGCACCGGCUAAAUACGUGCCAGCAGCCGCGGUAAUACGUAUGGUGCAAGCGUUAUCCGGAUUUACUGGGUGUAAAGGGAGCGUAGACGGCUGUGUAAGUCUGAAGUGAAAGCCCGGGGCUCAACCCCGGGACUGCUUUGGAAACUAUGCAGCUAGAGUGUCGGAGAGGUAAGUGGAAUUCCCAGUGUAGCGGUGAAAUGCGUAGAUAUUGGGAGGAACACCAGUGGCGAAGGCGGCUUACUGGACGAUGACUGACGUUGAGGCUCGAAAGCGUGGGGAGCAAACAGGAUUAGAUACCCUGGUAGUCCACGCCGUANACGAUGACUACUAGGUGUCGGGGAGNAAAGCUCUUCGGU
rnacentral:rRNA from 1 species